rnacentral:rRNA from 1 species
UAUUUUAGUCUUGUUAGAGGAACCUGUUUUAUAAUCGAUAAACCACGUAUAUCUUACUUAUUUUAAAUAACUUGUAUACCGUCAUUAUUAGAUAACUUUCAAAAAAUUAGUUAUUAAAAUUAAAAAAUUAAAUAUAUUAGAUCAAGGUGCAGUUAAUAAAUAAGAAAAAAUGGGUUACAAUAAAAUUUAUUUAAAACGAAUUAUAUAAAUGUAAAAAUAUAUGAAGGAGGAUUUAAUUGUAAUUUUUUUAUAAGAUAAUAAUAUGAUAAUAGCUCUAAAAUAU